UUUUAACAAACACAUUAACAACAAAAAGAGGGGGGCCCACGUGUUAUUCUUUUGGUCUGCUUUCUUUCUAGAUGAUAAAGGGGGAUACAAAAUUCACACAGAGGGGGAGAUUCACACACUCCACUAUUAUUCACCAAAAGGAGGAGCUCACUGGAACUCUCCAUUUUUUUUGGAACCACAAGAUAACAGCUACACAUCAACACACAAUUCUCUCAUCAAGAAACCACUACACACAAAACCAUUACCAUCAUCUUUCAUUUUCAUCUUCUACAGAAGAAUAGAAUCCACUCGCACCACACCUCACGGGAAUUCACCACAGGGAGAAGAUAAUUCUCCAUUUUUCAUCAUCUGCAUUCACCCACUGAUUUAGCAAGAUAUUCAAACACGCACGCACACACUCCUUCAACCAUGGACUGAAAAUAGAGAAUCGGGAGAGAAAACACGUGAGGGAGAGAGAUAGCGAAAGCGAGAGAGUUUUUGAUGAAAUUUCUCACCGUAAUCGGUGUUCCCUUAUCAAAUCCGACCACCUGCAGACCCAAAAAUCCCUGAAUCCUCUUCGUCUCUUGUUCUCCGGUGACAUAUCACCGAAAUCUUCAAUCGAGGAACAUUGUCGACAUUGUUUGUUAUCGUUACGGCUGAAUUCGACCUGAAACACCAUCUUCGGCCAUAUCCUACCGUUGAGGCAAUCCAACCAGCCGCGUCCUCGCCUAAACAGUGGGAAAACAGCUCGGUUUGCACAAAAUUGGAUUCAGAUUUGUUUAUUUUUGACGAUUUCUAUUUCUGGUCAGUAGAAAACAAGGGAGGGAUCAUACCGUAGCUGGGAUUCACUGUUGAGGUUUGAUUCGAGGUUCAUCGGUGCCGACUCUAUCGAAUUUAAUCGAAAUAAUAUAUCGAAUUGAGAAAGCUUUAAAUCGAGGAAAUGCCCCGAAGUAUCUUGUACUUGGAGGACGUUCGUGAUGAAGGCCCGAGGCAUCGGGUGAGACAUUAGAGCUUAGUCUAUGAUUAGUUUAGAAUAGGAUUUAUAUUUCCGUAAUUUUCUAUUUUGAGACUGUAUAACUCGGACUGAACACUAUAGUUUGGAUUCGUUUUGUUUUGUUUGUUUGUUUGAUUGUUUUACA